CCUACGGGGGGCAGCAGUGGGGAAUAUUGCACAAUGGGGGCAACCCUGAUGCAGCAACGCCGCGUGAGUGAAGAAGUCAUUCGUGAUGUAAAGCUCUAUCAGCAGGGAAGAAAAUGACGGUACCUGACUAAAAAGCCCCGGCUAACUAAGUGCCAGCAGCCGCGGUAAUACGUAGGGGGCAACCGUUAUCCGGAUUUACUGGGUGUAAAGGGGGCGUAGACGGCGACGCAAGUCAGAAGUGAAAUGCCAGGGCUCAACACUGGAACUGCUUUGGAAACUGUGUGGCUAGAGUGCAGGAGAGGCAAGUGGAAUUCCUAGUGUAGCGGUGAAAUGCGUAGAUAUUAGGAGGAACACCAGUGGCGAAGGCGGCUUACUGGACUUUAACUGACGUUGAGGCUCGAAGGCGUGGGGAGCAAACAGGAUUAGAUACCCCUGUAGUC
rnacentral:rRNA from 1 species